rnacentral:rRNA from 1 species
AUUGAACGCUGGCGGCAUGCCUUACACAUGCAAGUCGAACGGUAGAGUAGCAAUACUUGAGAGUGGCGAACGGGUGAGUAAUGCAUCGGAACAUGCCCAGUCGUGGGGGAUAACGUAGCGAAAGUUACGCUAAUACCGCAUACGAGCUAUGGAUGAAAGCGGGUGACUCGCAAGAGCCUCGCGCGCUUGGAGUGGCCGAUGUCAGAUUAGGUAGUUGGUGGGGUAAAAGCCCACCAAGCCAACGAUCUGUAGCUGGUCUGAGAGGACGACCAGCCACACUGGGACUGAGACACGGCCCAGACUCCUACGGGAGGCAGCAGUGGGGAAUUUUGGACAAUGGACGAAAGUCUGAUCCAGCAAUGCCGCGUGCAGGACGAAGGCCUUCGGGUUGUAAACUGCUUUUGUACGGAGCGAAAAGCUUUGGAUUAAUACUCCGAGGUCAUGACGGUACCGUAAGAAUAAGCACCGGCUAACUACGUGCCAGCCGCCGCGGUAA